UUGGAAGGAAACUAAUAAUCAGGGUUAUAUACCACGCACUUCAUUUUUGAAGUUGUGCAUUCCCACUAUUUUCAGAAAGCCUUCUUAUUGUUUUUACGAAAAGAUGGCGUUGUUUUUAUCUACCAAACCAGGAAAGAUAACGUCACCGUACAACGGUAGUUAACGUUCGAAUUCCACGGAAUACGUGAUUCGUGAAAUUCUUCCUUUAGAAUUUCUCAAAAGAAAAGGGGGAAAGAAAAAGUCAAACAAGUCCCUCUUUAUAUGUGUUGUACAGCACCUUAUUUUGAAAUCUUCCCAUUAUAUGCUUGUCACUUCUCUGCCAUCAUCAAAAUUAAAUUUGUCUGCUGCAUUCGUAUUUAAAUGUAAUAGGAUAAAGCCAAAAUUUUUAUUUAAAAGUCAUUACUCUUUUCAAAAGUUUCUCGCGGCUUUUUUUUUUUUUAUCGAUCGCAGCUUUGCACAUUUCCAUAAAUAGAUUAUGAAUUUAGUGCAAGUAGCGCGCGUAGCAGUUGUGCUGUAUGUGCAAACUAACGUAAAUGUGUGGUUACUGGUUAGGCAGGCCUUCACGGUAGGUCGUUGGCAGGGCAAGGCGUGAAUGUCACGACAAUUCUGAAUUCUGUGAAAGUCGCCUUUUUAUACACGUUACCAAGCAGCAGCCACGAGUGUCAAGCUCAGUCAAACACAUGGGGAAAAAAACUCAAAUUCAUUUUCCUGUUUAUGCACUUUGCAUUCGGAGGGCGACAGCUGAUGGUGGCACCCAGAAUGGUGUUCUCAUGGCUUUCUUUGAAAUGGAAAGAAACAAAAUAAAGUACUCUCAGCGUCGAGAACUGGAAAUCAAACAAGAAAUUUUAAAGGCACACUCCAUAUGGCACGUGUAGAUAGAAACAUUCUUUAGACAGCUUGUGUCAAUGUUUCCAAGGCCCCAAACUAAGCAGUUAGCAUGCUUCAAUCAAGUACUUAAGCAUUAAUCAAAUUAUUGACAUGUGACUCUGUAGAAGCCAAAGUGACCUCGUGAACUUUCAGAAGACAAUUAAUUGUGUAGUAGGUAAAUUACUGUCAUUCCCAAGCCACUGCAAAAAUCUCACACUCUGUAGAAAAGUAUUUUUCUAGAGCGCUCAUACUGUCCAUUGUUCGCCAUUUUUUCUUUCUGUCUUUUUCUUCCAUCCCCCUAAAACCGAGAAUUACAAUAAGUUGCCCCUUGGCUAUAUGACGA